CUCACUCCCCAACCCCCCAUCGCGGCCUCCCCUCUGCACCAGGCUGGGUUCCCCCACCCAUGAAUUUGGACCCUGUCACUAAAAAGAUAAAAUGCAGUUGGUGGGUCGCCUUAGUAAAUAGAUUAGGUGGUGCUCUCGGCUCCCUCUGCUGGAGAGAAGGGGACAAGCCAGCUGUGGCCAGCUUCAGUUAGAGUCCUAGGGUUACGGCCCGAAGGCCAGUCUGACCUGCAUGGCACCAGCCACCAGCAAGGGUUUUUGGCCGUUAAAAUCUGGUCGGCGGUGCAGCAGGGGCCCGGGGCUAAGGCAGGCUCUUGGCCUACCCUAGCUCCACGCAGCUCCUGGAAGCUGCCACCAGGUCUGUGCGGCCCCUAGGUGCUGGGGUGGCCAGGUACGCUCCCGCCCCUAUUGCCGGCUCUGUAGCUCCCAUUGGCCAGGGAUCGCAACUAAUGGGAGCUGCGGGGGUAGCGCCUGCAGCCUGGCAGCUGCUUCCUAGGAGCCACAGAGAUGACCAGCAGAGGAGGGCCACUCUCGGAUGCCCUUGGCUACCACUAAGACUAAGUCAACCAAUAGUAUCCCCAAGAGGGAGCAUCAGAACAUCGUCUGGUACAGCCGACAGACUGCACGUCCCAGUGCCGCGUCAGAUCUAGAGACAUGAGGGGGAAAAGCAUCAUAUUGGGAGAAGACCCUGCAGAUUUCAGAGCAACGGAGGAGUCCCAACUGAAAAAAAAGUGGUGAAUCAAGUGUCAGUGAUAAAUGGGAGUCCAGCAACUGAACUAGUCUUGGUACCGUGGAAACCUUGGUGCCCAGAAUCAGCAGAGACUUCCUCUACUAUGGCUAGGUCCAUAAUGAAUCAAAAUCCCUGCAGUACCGAAUGGGGUGACAGCACUGACGCAAUUGUCUCUGGAAGCUGACAAUA